UGCAAUAGCUCGGUAAUACUGGGGCAGAAGAAAAGAGGACAGAUACUGACGAGAAUAUGUUUACCAUGUUCGACAUCUUGAAGAGCAAGAGAAGGGUUAAACUUGAAAGUUUGAUAUUGAAUAGAAAAUCUUUUGCACAGACAGUGGAAAAUUUAUUUGCUCUGUCUUUCUUGGUCAAAGAUGGGCGGGUUAUAAUGGCUGUGGAUGAAAAGGGCUCUCAUCUUGUUUUUAUUGACUUUCUUUUCAGCGCCAACAAAUGCUGCUGAUGCCCCUUCUGUUAUGUCGGGUAAAGUUGCUUACAGCCAUUUUGUCUUCAGAUAUGAUUUCAAGGAUUGGAAGUAUUCGUGAGAAAUAAAUCUGUUCAGCAUUCACUUGGACUUGGGGAGUCCUCAAUUAGUUGAUGAUGGAUUUUUUGGCAGUUGAGAGGAGUUGAUGCCCCAUAGGGAUUUUUCGAACAUUGGCAGUUGUUCCCAAGGGAAGCCAGCUGCUGCAAAUGCAAAUGAUUGUUAGGCACCAUUGCAGCAUCUGGUGACUGUAAAGAACCUAUCAGUUGUUGGAGACUCUUCUGGGAUUGGUGAUGCCAAUAGUGGCAUCCGGAGGUGCAAGCGUAAACUUGAGUUCCUUUCUGUUUGAUGCCUCGCCGUAAAUAUAUAUGUUUUGGAAUAUGAUUUGUGAUGUAUAUAGUAGCUAGGCAGGUAGAUAAGUUUUUGUUUAUCUACUAUUAGUUUUUUAUGAUUUAUUGGAUUUUUUUUCUUUAAA